AUUGACAAGCCUCUCAAAGCCCAGUGUCAUCAGAUCUCGGAAGCUAGGCAGGGUUGGGCCCUGGUUAGUACUUGGAUGGGAGACCUCUGGGAAUACCGGGUGUCACAC
rnacentral:rRNA from 1 species